rnacentral:tRNA from 1 species
GGGAUUGUGGCUCAGGGGUAGAGCACUCGCCUAGCAUGUGUGAGGCCCUGGGUUCCAUCCUCAGCACCA